GAUGAACGCUGGCGGCGUGCCUAAUACAUGCAAGUCGAGCGAAUGGAUUAAGAGCUUGCUCUUAUGAAGUUAGCGGCGGACGGGUGAGUAACACGUGGGUAACCUGCCCAUAAGACCGGGAUAACUCCGGGAAACCGGGGCUAAUACCGGAUAACAUUUUGAACCGCAUGGUUCGAAAUUGAAAGGCGGCUUCGGCUGUCACUUAUGGAUGGACCCGGGUCGCAUUAGCUAGUUGGUGAGGUAACGGCUCACCAAGGCAACGAUGCGUAGCCGACCUGGGAGGGUGAUCGGCCACACGGGAGCUUGGGCACGGCCCAGCCUCCUACGGGAGGAGGCAGUAGGGAAUCUUCCGCAAGGGACGAAAGUCUGACGGAGCAACGCCGCGUGAGUGAUGAAGGCUUUCGGGUCGUAAAACUCUGUUGUUAGGGAAGAACAAGUGCUAGUUGAAUAAGCUGGCACCUUGACGGUACCUAACCAGAAAGCCACGGCUAACUACGUGCCAGCAGCCGCCGUAA
rnacentral:rRNA from 1 species